rnacentral:lncRNA from 1 species
GAUCUCGUCCUUUCCGAGGUCCUCUGCCGCGUGUUUGGAAGUUAUGGCCGCGCGGGUCUGUGGUGUUCUCCCUGAAAGGCCUAAGCUUUGGGUGAUGGCAUUGCCUUUUGGCACUCGGGAGACAAGAUGCAGGUUCCGUCUCAGAAGUAAUGGCUGGAUCCCUGAAAGCCAACGGGCUCGGUGUGGUCCACCCGUCAGAAGGCAUAGGUAGAUGGUGGGCAUCUGCCUCAGACAUAGUUCUCAAGUUCAGCCAGAAGAAUGCGCGUUGAGCCCUCUGCAGCCCGUGUCGACGGAGGUGUUGUCUCCAGGAAGCAUCAUGGAAAGGCGUGGUGGUGCACAAGGGCCUUCAGGAUGCCUGCGCCUGGUGACGGCUGCGCCUCAGGUUCUGGGCCUGACUCGGAAGGGUGCCUGUGAGCAGAAGAGCUGGCACGCGCAGCUCAGUGGACCAUCAGUGCCAACCCGUCCUGUACCCUGGCUGAGGGGUGUGCUAAGUGGCAGGCAAGUUUCAGCAGGAUUUUUUCGUUUCUUCGCUAGGUUUGUAGCUCUCUUGUGACAGACAAGCGAUUGUCACUGGUUGAGCUGAGGAUGAUUUAAGUUAUCCCUGUCUGAAAUGACACUUUCUGAAGAGUCAUGGUUUACUGAGGCUCGACUUUUAAGACCUAUUUUGAGAAUGUCCACAGUAAGAUUGCUUCUGUUAGAGUGAGGUGUGUUGUCUUCGUUACUCAGAUUCCCGGUUGGCUCAUCGUAAGGCGUGGCACAAAAUCACCAUCGAAAGAAAGGGCCUUCGGGAUGCCUCUAUCUGGUAAGAGCUUCACAGAAUUGCAGGGGUUGUGGUUGCUGGGAAGGGUUAGUCUGUUAGAUCAGGUGCUGCAGAAUCGAGUGUAACCCUUCCUCCCUUUAGUCUUACUGUGUAGCCCGUGCUGGCCUGCAACUUGCUAUGUAGACCUGGUUGACCUCAAACUCAGUUUGUGGCCUUUCAGGUGCUGGGAUUUUCAUGUUCUCAUUUUGUGUUCCCGAAAAGCCCAUAAGCCUAUGAUGGAUUGGUUAUCCCUGUCUGAAGAUUUCAGCUGAGGGAAAAUACUCUAUUCUGAGGCUUAGGGGUGUGGCUCCAUGCUUGAAGAAAUUUGAGCUUUAUAAGGGAUCAAGUUAAAUAGACUCCAUAGAGAGCUGUGUGCCAACCUCCCAAAACCUAAGGUCUAGUUGCCUGUUAAUCCUCCUCCUUGGGUGCUCUGAGGGCAAAGUCCCUGAGUUAGCAGAAAUGGGCGGGCUGCCAGCACCUGUCCUGUGCUCACUGGAGUGAGACAUGCUGGUCACAUAGUUCUAGAAAAUGAAUGUCUUCCUUUAGAGGAGGCAGGGAUGUAAGGCGUGCCAUGAGAAUGCUUGACGACUCUGUCGUUGCCUCUAGCGGUGCUGACAUUUAGAAAAGAAGUUGUGGCCCUGGCAGCCUCCUAAGUAUCGUCUCCUUGAUGGCACAGAAACAAGUGGCGGGCUUGGGGGGGGGGGGGCUUUGCUCAGCCCAGCCUUAGUAAUGCAGUGUACACUGUGUCCUUUUUCUCUAUGGAAUCUGGGGGGUGGAUAUGGGCUUACACUAAAGUAGCUGUACUUGUGGAAUUCUCUGCAGGGUGGCUCUGCUUGCCUUCACUUCUGAGUGGACUCAGGUUCAGGUCCUCAGGGAUUUGGUUGAAUAUAAAUACUCUGAUGUUUCAUGAGAAACCUUUUUUUGGCCACUUACCAGGAACUUCUUAAAACUUUCUUUUAAAAAAAAAGUUAGCAGCCUGCUUCUGAACUUGGCUGGUGCCUGCCUGUGUGUAGCGCACACAGUGCCUUGUGAUGGCGGCUGGAAUCCCAGGACUAUCUGAUAAUGCUUGUUCCUAAAGUUUGUAGUUUUGAUCACUUAGCUGCCUGUCUCCUUCAGGUUCUUUCCUUGUUUCUAGGUUAUUGCCCUGUAGUGCCAGAGAGAACCACAUAGCCUGCUGCUGCUCCUGCCUUUAAUUUCCCAAAGAGUCAUCAGACGACCUUGGAGUUUGUUCUGCAAGAGGAGCCAGUAAGGCCUCGUGACUGUGGUCACCCUCGGAAGCCUUUGACAGCUAGCUGGUGAGGGCGCUCAGUCGGAGGCCCUGGGGAGGCCCCUGCUAAGCCGAGAAAAGCAUUUCUCACAGUGGAUUUCCUGGAAGUCAGGGUUGGCCUUUGUAUUUUGAAGCACAAAUAAACUUUAUAAAAUUUAA